UCCAUGUGAUGAGUCAGAACGGAUAUCUGAGAAGCGUGCUCAUACUUGGCAGUCGCUGGGCACGAGUUACUGUGCGGUGGCUGUCCAAGAGCAGGCCAUGAUUAAAACCUCGAAUACUGAAU
ensembl:snoRNA scaRNA:MeU2-C41 small Cajal body-specific RNA : MeU2-C41